AUUUAAAUAGGAAGUGUAACAUUUGCAGAUGUUUUCAAUUAAAUUUUAUUUUUUGUUUUCAUUUCAGAUGGCCAAAGCAGUAAUGGAAGCAUUCCCAAAUAAACCAGAAAUGACAUUUUGACGACAAAAAAAGAGAUGGCCCAGGCACGAAGGACAUUUGCAAAGACAAUACUUGAGGCCUCAGUUUUAGUAUUUGACAGUGACACCAACUGUGCCAUGUGUGCAACAGCGAAACCACCCAAUCCAGGACCCUCCAUCACUGACUGGAUCCAGUGUGAUAACUGCAACUGCUGGUUCCAUUCUGAAUGCCUGGACAUGACAAAUGAACAGCUCAGCAGCGCUCAGAAGACAGAGUGGAAGUGUGUGCUUUGUGUAACCUAAUUCCACAUGCAGUGAAAGCUACUAGAAUAAUCUGCUUAUAGUUAUUAUUGGUGUUUUGAGGAACACAUGUGUAAAACACAAUAUGUAUAACAUUCUUGCUUUGAGCACGUAUUUUAAGUAUUUCCUUUUUGAUUUUUUGGGUUGAUUUGUGUGAUGACAGAUAAUGAAUAAUAAUAUAUCAAAAAUGUAUAAUAGUAAUCUGAGAAAUCUGUAAUAUGAGAAAUGUAAUUUCUCACCCCAACCGGUCACAGCAGAUGGCCGCCCCUCCCUGAGCCUGGUUCUGCUGGAGGUUUCUUCCUGUUAGAAGGGAGUUUUUCCUUCCCACUGUCGCCAAAGUGCUUGCUCAUAGGGGGUCAUAUGAUUGUUGGGU